rnacentral:rRNA from 1 species
GAUAGAGACCAUACCACGUUGAAAACACCGGCUCUCGUCCGAUCACCGCAGUUAAGCAACACCCGACCGUUGCUGCUACCU